CAGAUCAAACUGUUUUUCCGAAAAGAUCGCGAGGCAAAAGACCAACCGCCUGUGCUAUGAGUGAGGAACUGAAGCGCGACUUCGAGAUCGGCGAGGAGAUUGGGCGCGGCCGCUUCGGCGUCGUCCACCGCUGCGCCUCCCGCUCCACCGGCGAGGCCUACGCCGUCAAGUCGGUCGACCGCUCCCGCCUCUCCGACGACCUGGACCGCUCGCUCGCCGCGCUCGAGCCCAAGCUGGCCCGGCUCGCCGCCGCGGGCAACCCGGGCGUCGUGCAGGUGCACGCCGUCUACGAGGACGACGACUGGACGCACACGGUCAUGGACCUCUGCACGAGGCCCGACAUCCUCGACUGGGUCCGCCUCCGCUGCGGCAAGCCCGUGCCGGAGCCCGACGCCACCGCCGUCGUCGCGCAGAUCGCCGAGGCCCUCGCGCUCUGCCACCGCCGCGGCGUCGCGCACCGCGACGUCAAGCCCGACAACGUCCUCCUCGACGCCACCGGGGACGGGCCGCCACGGGUGCGCCUCGCCGACUUCGGCUCCGCCGCGUGGGUCGGCGACGGGAUCAGCGCCGAAGGGGCUCGUGGGGACAGCCGCACUACGUCGCGCCCGAGGUGGUCGCCGGGGGCGAGUACGGGGAGAAGGCCGACGUGUGGAGCGCGGGGGUGGUCAUGUACGUGCUCCUCACCGGCGGCGCGCUCCCGUUCGGCGGCGAGACGGCCUCCGACGUGUUCGCCGCCGUCCUGCGGGGCAACCUGAGGUUCCCGCCGAGGCUGUUCUCCGGCGUGUCGCCGGCUGCCAAGGACCUGAUGCGGCGGAUGAUGUGCCGCGACGUCUACAGGAGGUUCUCCGCCGAGCAAGUCCUGAGGCACCCGUGGAUCGUGAGCGGAGGAGGAGCACGCGAUGUGCAGCCGACCUGAAGAAUCCGUAUCAGAUUUCCAAAUAAUACGGCUUCUUGUGUAUACGCCUUUGUAAAUGCGAGUACGCCUACGAGAGAGGAAGAUGCAUUGGUAGAAGAAGUAGAGAGUGGAGAGUAGUAACACUGUAUACAUCCAACCAGGAGUGGUGAGGAGGAGGAGGUCGCUAGCCUCUGUGUUUUUUUCGCUCUUUCUUAAGCCCUUUUUAGUUGCCGCUUUUUGCCUGAGAGAAGAACGCUUGCUUGUGUAAUGGGAGUGCUGCUGUGAAUACUAACCCUGCUUGUAUAAUUAAGAUCGUUAAUAAAAAUGAGAGUGGUCUCUCCAAUCUUUUGAUGGGUUUUUUA